rnacentral:lncRNA from 1 species
GAUUGCCCCAAAAUAUUUGAAAUUUUCAGAAACCCUAGGGUUUCUAUCCACUCCAGCGCCGCAGCCUCGGUCGCCCCGCACCCCACGUGCCUCCGUCAGCGUACCAUCUGCCCGAUGGUUGCUUCCUUGCACCGAAAUAGCAAGGUUUUCCUUCAUUGACCCUCCGUAGACCUGCAAACAUGACAAAGAAGGACAACAAGAACAAAAGCAGAGCAACAAAGAUAAAAUGCAUAAAAUUUAAUAGCAAAUACACAGUGUUGUAAAGGCUAUAAAAGCCAGAAUCGACGAUGUAAUAGGGAUCUUUUUUUUUUACAGCAUAUUAAUCAAAAAAAUUCAAAGCAAAAAAAGUGAUUCUUUUUUCGAUUUAAUAUUUCGCAAUUCUUUCUGGCAAGUUUUUUCUUGUUUCUGUAUUAUAGGGAUUAUUUACUAAAGAAAAUAAGAGGGAAAUGAUAAAGGAAAGUCACUUACCCGAGCCUUGAAUCGUUGGUGUAUCAUCGGAGUUCUUCUCCAUUAAAAUCGAACCCAACAAAGGUGGGAACUUUCUUUUUGAUUCUUCGUGGUGGAAAGUGUCAAAUCCUCGAAUAGGGGUCUAAACGGGGUUAAAGAACGAGAAGACCACCCUCCGUCGACCGCCGUUUGCGGUGGCUACAUGGCGGCUAGGGUUUGGUCUCUUUAGGGUUCGCAGAAAUGUGGAAGAAGGGGCUGCUCUCUUUCUGUUUGUUUUGCAGAAAAAAAAGGAAGAAAUAAAAGAGUAACAAAAAUUUAGUUUUAACAGCAAUGCAAAACGGUGCCGUUUUGCACCAAGGGCAUCAGCACUGAAACGGCGCCGUUUUAGGCGACCCGACUCGCUCCAGGGAGGAAUCCGCGUGUUUCACUCAUUUGGGUUUAUUGUGCGUUUGGUCCUUCCAUUUUCAGGGCGCUACAACCUGGUCUCUAUUUAAUUCUUUUAUUCUUUUAAGUUUCGCCGCACAUUUUGUGCCUGCUUCAGUUUAGUCCAUGUUGAAACGCAGCGCAUAGGGGCAAAGGAUAAUUUCCUAAUCAGCCCUCCAUGUGUUUCAGCGUGUUUCACCUAGGUCCCCGAUGACCUAUUUUUGUUAUUUAUAAUUUUUUCCCUUGAAUUUCAACUUGAUCUCAGCCUAGUCCUAGCCUAUUAAUUUGUCUAUUUGUUUAUUUAUUCAGUUUUUUUUGAACUGUUUUAGUUUUAUUUAUUUUAAGUUUGUUUUAAUAUACCAUUUAUUUUAAAUCACUUCACUAUUAUGUAUAUUGAGAUCAAAUUUGCACAUUUUAAAGUAUUAUUCUUUUAUUGUUAUUAUUAUUAAAUAUUUUUUAUUUAUUUUAAACUAUCAUACAUACUUUUAUUUGGAGAUUAUACAUAUACCUCUUGUUUUACACUAUUAUAUAUACGCUUAUUUUAAGUUUCCUAUAUGUCAUUUAAUCGCAUUAUUUCGCCUGCUAGUUAUCUUAAAUUCUUUUAUUAGAUAUUAUAAACCUCUUUGUCAUUAUUUGAUCUAAAAAUUCAUAUAUUACCUAUAUUAGAUUGUUUAUAUAUAUAUAUAUAUGUAUAUAUAUAUAUCUUUUAUAUAUUAUUUAUUUUAAAGUUACUUUUCAUAUAUUAUUUACGUCAAACUCCUUCAUACUAUUUUCAAAUAUUUUAAAUAAUUUAUUUUAGGUUGCCCUAUAUAUUAUUUUGUCAUCUUGAAUAUUAAUGAUUUCUAAAUUUUUUAUGCCAUUUACUUUAAAUCGUUUUUGUAGUAUCUACUCUAAACUUGUUUUCCAUACCUAUUAUCUAUUUAGAAUUGUCUUAUUGUUUAUUCAAAUUGCUUUAUCAUUCAUUUUAUUUCUUUUCGAUUAUUAAAGUUGGUGCCUAAAUUACUUGUGUUGUUCGAUUAUCGCCAUUACGCAUCAAAGUUCUUUAUUCAUGUUUUCAUGUAUUUGUGGUUCAUUAUUAUAACAUUCAUUCGUAAAUUAUUAUGCCAUGCUCGAUAUUGUCAUAUAUUUUCAUUCCAUUAAAGCCAUUUCAAAAACCACAAGUGGUAUGUUCGUUUUAUUCAAAAUAAGGCAACAUUUCGUGUUUGGAAAUUUCGAGAAAAUCGUGCCCUACGUGCUAGGUUUCGAUUUAUUAUUUAACCGAACAACCGAAUAUCCUUUUUAAAAUUUCAAUGCAUAAGUUUUGGAAAUCCUGAGAUGAUUUUGGUAUCGAAGGUUUGAAAUAUCAUGUCCUACGUACUGGAUGUGAUAUUUUAUUUCUUCGAAACAAGAGAAUCUUAAUCGCUUCAUACUAUGGCAUUUUUAUUCAAGACUUUUUUAAAACAAGGCAAAAUUUCGUGUUCAGAAAUUUCGAGAAAUUGUGCCCUACGUGUUGGGUUUCGAUUUAUCGUUUGACUGAACAACCGAAUAUCCUUUUUUAAAAUUUCAAUACAUGAGUUUUGGAAAUCAUGAGAUAAUUUUGGUAUCGGAGGUUUGAAAUAUCGUGUCCUACGUGUUGGAUGUGAUAUUUUAUUUCUCCGGAACAAGAAAAUCUUAAUAUCCACUUCAAGUUAUCCAAACAUUCAUAAAAAGGGAUCAUAUUUCAAAAUUUAUUUUAAAUCUUUUCAAUUUUCGACAUUAAGACAUUAAUUAAUCAAUUAGGUACCAAUUUUGGGCGUUAUGAGGGUGCUAAUCCUUCCUCGUACGUAACCGACUCCCGAUCCCAUUUUCUCAAAUUUCGUAGACCAAAAUCGUUGUUUUAGUAAACCAAAAUGUUUUAUUAAAAUGACCAAACUUCUUGGUGAUCCGAUCACACCUAAACAAAAAAGAUUGGCGGCGACUCCCAAUUUUCGUUUUUUUUUCAAAAUAUAAAGUCGAUCCUCGUUUUUCAAAAAAAUGGUUUCGACAACUUGGCAACUCUGCUGGGAAUUUCGAGAGUCGAGCCAUAAAUUGAUUGAUUUUUGUCCUUUGUUGAAAAUUACAAAUUCGUUUUAAACUUAUGAUCCCUUCAUUGCAUUUCAUCCAUUUUCCUACGGUUUUCAUUAUUUUAUUCCUAUUUUCUUUAUUGCUUAUUAGACAUAUAUCCUCGCACAUUGCAUUGCAUGACUGUUAUGGUCACGCCUCUUAAGUGGGAGUGAGAAACUAUUCCUUCGUGAGGUUUUCACCUACGUGUAGGAUAGUGGAUCGCUUUCGGGAUACAUCCGUACCUAUGUCUUCGUGAGAUUUUCAUCUCCGUUUAGCCAUAGGGAAAUGUAUUCCCCUGAACCGAACUCGGUCUAUAUGAGCCUAUAAUGGGUGAGGAUCGAGGAAUCUGCUGGUUCGGGUACCCUUACUCUAGAACCAAACCACAUAUAAUGAGUCCUAAGAGCCUACCCUAGGUAGAGCCGCACCAGACCCUAGUGAUUACCCGAGUAGGUGCUUGAUAUUUCCUGUUUGCUUCGAGUUCUAUUACAUAAUACUGACUUACUGUAUUUUGCUGUUAUUGCAUAGCAUUUCAUCAUAAAAAUGUGUUGAUUCCCGUUCGGUUACCAAGUAGAAGAGCUUAGCAUGGAAAAAGGGGUUUCUUAAUAGAGUGGAGGAUAAUGCGGUAGUCCGAGUAUGGUCCGAGACGACACAACAAGAGAAAGGUAAUAGUUUGACCAAAGGAUAUGAAUCAGAAUUAUGGGAUUUCACUCGCAUCAGUGUGACUCAAAGUGACCUAGAAGAAUUAAAAGAGAUAUGGGGUCAAUAGAAUGACGAGGUCAAACAACUAUUUUAUUGUAAUUACGGUAACCUACCCUAUUUACUCGAUGCAAAGGUGGACAAGCAUCUGUUUCGAUCCCUCGUGCAGUUUUGGAAUCCUGCCUACAGUUGCUUCACCUUCAGAAGAGUCGAUUUGGUACCUACUGUGGAGGAGUACAUGGCUUUACUUCGUUGCCUGAAGAUUCAGGUCGACAAAGCCUAUUCAAGAGCUACUAAUGUCACGGCUUUCGUGAAAAAUUUAGUGAGUAUAAUGGGGAUGAGCGAACAGUGGGUUGUAAGUCGAAUUAAGCAUAAAGGAGACAGUAAAUGUAUUCCUUGGAAGAACUUGAGGGAUUUAAUUCUAGCACAUCCGGAUAUGAAGAAGAAGGUUGACAUUUUUGCUCUAAGCAUCUACGGUUUGGUUGUCUUUCCUAAGGCUUUAGGAUAUAUAGAUAAAGCGGUCUCAGACCUUUUUGAUCGACUUGAUAAAGGGGUCACACCCAUCCCGGCAAUUUUAGCAGAAACUUUCAGAUCCUUGAAUGCAUGUCGGAGGGCAGGUGAAGGAAGAUUCAUAGGGUGUGCUCAGUUAUUGUUGGCUUGGUUUCAUAGCCACUUUUGGAGAGUAAAAAAGGUCUCCUAUCGAGUUUUCUCCGAGAACUACUCCCUACUGAAAGAAUUAGUAGGUACGUCAAGGCGGGAUAACCUUUCUGAAGAGAAGUGGAUGGUGAUUCUCCAGAAUCUACAAGUUGAAGAUAUCGAGUAGAGGGCCCUAUGGAUGAUCCCUGGUAAGAUCUUAUAUCGGUGUGGGGACUUUGACUGGGUCCCCUUACUUGGGAUAUGGGGAGCCAUUGGGUAUGCUCCACUACUUGUUUUAAGACAAUAUCGUUCGAGGCAGUUCGUACCAACGACACAAAGUUUAACUCAAUGUGAGUUCUCUUAUAAGUACGACAAUUAUAGGAAAAAGGUUCAUGAUAUGUCAAAUGCUUGGAAACAAACCCGAAGAAUGAAAGGAUUCACGGCAUGUCCAAUGACGACCCCCGAGUAUGACUAGUGGUGGGGUAAAAGAGUCAACGACAACAUCCCAAUGCCAAGUUAGAAAAAUGCCCGACCGAUAGAAGAGCAUUUACAAGUAGUCCCAUUCGAGUUAGAAAUCAUCAAGCAAGACUUUGAGAAAAGGAGCUCGGAAUUGGGAAAGAAGAUAGAGCAAUUAGAGGAGGAAAAGAUGUGGCUAGGAUUAGAUGUCGACAUCCACAAGCUAGAGGCUGAGAAGGUAAGGAAAGGGAAGAAUAAAGCUGAAGAGGACUUGGAUAGUCUGAAGAUUGAUUAUAAGAAGCUACGUAUGUCGAUAAGAACUGUCAGUUUGGGUAAAACGUCGGAUCAGUGGUGUCAAGAAAUUGAAAAAGAAAAGGCUAGAGCCGAUCACUGGGAGAAAAAGUUUCAAGAUGUUUGAGUGUAGGAAGAUGUUUUGAAAAAGAAUUUGUCAAAAAUCCAAAGCGAAAAAGAGAAAUUACAAGCUCGGAUAGCCGAGCUAGAAAAAUUGCUACAUCUGCAUCGUAGCUGUAACUCUGUAAUUGAGUUGAAAACCGGCCUAAGCAAAAUUGAGAAGUUGAAAGGAAAAUAGAGGAACUCGAGACGACACUACAAGACAGCAAAAGUCGAGUGGAAUUCCUUGAGGCAAACAAUGAACAUUGCAAAGAACAAAUUCACCACUCUCAAGAUCAAAUCAGAAAUAGAGAUUAUGUCAUGGGCGAAACUGUGGCUCAAGUUCGAGAGGUAGCUGAUCAUUUGCAAACCUUGGCAGUUCAGGCUGAUGUAUUGAGCUUAAAGUACAAAUCAGAAUCAGAACGAGGCUGAAACUUAGCUUGGCUUCUUAGGAAAAUUAAGACUUUAGGUAUUAGGGAAAAGUCGUAUGUGUAAUUAUCCGUUCUAUGUAAAGAAAUUUUGCUUCUAGCAAAGUUGUUCUAAUGAAAUUGAAUCAAAAUCAACUCCUCUUUUUGCAUUCAUCCAUUCAUUUGCAUUCAUGCAUUUGCAUUACAUUACAUCAUAUGCAUUAAAGGCCAUAAAAAGAUUCUAAUUAAUUAAAAAUGUUUCAGUAAUCUAAAAACUGACGAAAAUCUCCUAAAUACACAUCCUUACGGUACAAGAAGAAAAACUAAAGCAAUGGAUAAAAAACUAGAAAGACUGGAGCAAAUACAGAAAGAGAUGCAGGAGUAGAUGCAAGCACAAGUGCAAGAACAGUUAGCUAAAAUCUAGUAAGAAAUGAGGGACCAGAUGUUGGAAUCACAAAAAAAUAUGAUGGAAGAGGGCCCUGACUAGUAGGUCGGACAAAGGAAAGGGCCCUAUGGCCGAUAUAGGAAAUAACAAUGGAGAUUCCCUUUACUCAUUGGUUUUACCCCGGCAAAUGCUCAAACGCAACAUGAGACACAUACGCAGAGGCUAUCCAUUACUAAAGAUCCCCUUUACCCCCCAGGUUUCACCCCGACGAAUGCUCAAACGCAACCUGAGCUGCACACACGAAGGCCGUCCAUUACAAUCAUGCCUCAGCAAUUUCAGGCCGAUACCUCAAUGCCAAUCAACUAUCGAACAGGCUCAGGCUCUAAUCCAGGGGAUAACCCUAUUAACCCUAUAAUCCUUGAUCUGGAUAACAUGGCAGAAGAAGAGAGAGUGAGAACAGAGCUCUUAAAAGAAUUGAAAGAUCAAUGCAAGUGGUUAGAGGAAAAGUUCAGAGUGAUGGAAAGUGCAGACUAUCAUUGUCGGAUCGACGCUAAAGAUUUGAGCUUGGUUCUAGACCUAGUCCUUCCCCUUAAGUUCAAAAUGCCAGAAUUUGAAAAAUACAAUGGAACUAGCUGUCUAGAGGCUCACAUCACCAUGUGUUGUCAAAGAAUGGCAGGGUAGGUUCACAAUGAUCAACUAUUGAUCCAUUGCUUCCAAGACAGUUUGGUUGGGUCUGCGGCCAAAUGGUACAACCAACUAAGUUGGGCUCAAAUCCAUUCAUGAAAAGACUUGGUACAAGCUUUCAUGAAGCAAUACGGCCACGUGACAGACAUAGCACCCGAUCGAAUCACGUUAUAGGACAUGGAGAAGAAAAAAAAUGAGAGCUUCAGGCAGUACGCCCAAAGAUGGAGAGAGGUAGCGACGCAAGUACAACCACCUCUUCUGGAGAAAGAAACGACUAUGCUCUUUAUCAACACUCUGAAAGCUCCAUUUAUCAACCACAUGCUAGGAAGUGCUACUAAGAGCUUCUCAGACAUAGUAAUGUCAUGAGAGAUGAUAGAGAACGCGAUAAGAUACAGGAAAAUCGAAACAGGGGAAAAUGCCAAGAAAUCAAUUCCGAGAAGGAAAGAAAAUGAGGUGAACAAUGCAAGCGUAUACAAUAAGAGUUAUUCCAAGCCAGUCACUGUGAGCCAAUCGAAGACAGUGACUACCAGCCAUCAGGGCUCUGCAAGACAAGAUUCAAACCCGAGGCCUAACACGGAAAGAGUCCAAUUUACGCCUAUCCCAAUAUCAUACAGGGAGUUGUAUUAGAGUUUAUUCGAUGCAUAUGUGGUGUCACCUUACUACUUGAAACCCCUAUAAUCUCUAUUCCUUAAGUGGUAUGACGCAAACGCUCAAUGCGAAUACCAUGCAGGAAUAUCGGGACAUAUGAUUGAGAACUGCAAUGCCUUCAAAAAGGUAGUCGAAAGGCUCAUAGACAUGAGCAUUGUGAAGUUUGAUGAGCCCACAAGACCUAAUGUGGUGGGGAAUCCGCUACCUUAUCAUUCAGACAAAGGGGUAAACGUGAUAAUUGAAAAUGGAAGGAGGAGAACCAAGAUGGAUGUAUCAAAGGUAAAAACCCUGUUGAAAUGGGUUUGGAAGAGGAUGGUGGAAGAAGGUUUAGUCACACAAGAUUCAAGGGAAAGGCCUAGAGAAGCGAGAAGAUACUGCGAGUUUCAUGCCGAUGAAGGCCAUGACAUCCAAGAGUGCAAGAAGUUCAGGUCCAUAGUGCAAAAUCUGAAAGACAAUAAGGAGAUGGAAUUUUACGAAGAAAUCAAAGGAUCAGAAGAAUGAGAGGUUUACGCCUUAGAGGAAGGAGCAACAGAAGGGGUCCAAAGAGUUAAUCAUCCUAUGGUGAUAAUUUCGCGACCAAAGAACAAUGAAGCAGGAAUACAAAUGGCGCGGAGAGUCAUAAUCCAGAAGUCGGUAUCCUUCCCUUACAAGGAUAGUAAAAGGGUUCUCUGGAAUUAAGACUGCAACGUGACGAUCUCGGGUGGGAAAAACUCGGCUAGCGCUUCAAGGGAGAACCAAGAUAUAGGUUUCUAUACACGCAAUGGGAGACGUUAUGAUCCUGCGGGUAUAGGAACUGAAACUGUUAAAGGAAAGACCCCAAUAGACGAGCGAAGGAAGGAAAGGACAAUCAAACUUGAAUCACCAGUCAAUGAGCCGGUGACUGAAAAUGAGGCUAAAGAAUUUUUAAGGUUAUUAAAGUACAGCGAAUAUAGCGUUGUAGAAUAACUACAUAAGCAGCCGGCUCGUAUCUCAGUGCUAGCCUUACUUUUGAGCUCGGAGACAUAUCGGAGUGCAUUAAAGAAGGUACUAAACGAAACCUACGUCGCGGAUGAUAUCUCUGUCAGCAAGCUAGACCGUCUCGUCAAUAAUAUAAGUGCCGAUAAUUUCAUAUUUUUCAAUGACAAUAAAAUACCGCCGGAGGGAAUAGGGUCAACAAAGGCGCUACACAUCACCACCCGCUGUAAAGGAUAUACACUAUCGGGAGUAUUGAUUGACAAUGGGUCUGCACUAAAUGUCCUACCCCUAUCCACAUUGAAUAGGUUGCCAGUGGAUAGUUCCCACAUGACGAUGUGCCAAAAUAUAGCAAGGGCAUUUGACGGCACCGAGAGAAAAGCAAUGGGAAGGAUUGAAAUACCCCUUUUGAUCGGUCUAAGCACGUACGAGGUGGAUUUCUUAGUAAUGGACAUCAAACUUUCUUACAAUUGCUUAUUAGGGAGGCCUUGGAUUCACUCAGCAAGGGCAGUGCCAUCAUCAUUACAUCAAAAGCUCAAAUUUAUAACGAAAGGCCGAUUGGUGACCGUAAACGCGGAAGAAGAUAUCAUUGCAUCUGUUACCAGCGAGGCACCAUAUGUGGGGACAGAUGAUGAAACAAUAGAAUACUCUUUCUGAUCACUAGAAUUUGUGAAUGCAACCUUCAUCGUCGAAGGGAACAAGGUCCCGGUGCCCAAAAUCUCCAAAACUACCAGGAUGGGCUUACAACUAAUGGUUGGGAAAGGAGCUUUGCUCAGAAAGGGGCUUGGAAGAAGCUUACAAGGAAGGAUCGAUGCACUCAUGCUCACAGACAAACGAGACCGUUUUGGCUUAGGGUACAAAACAGAUGCAAGGCAAAAGAAAAAAGAGAUAGAGAAGAGGCAAGAGAGGAGAAUAACGCAUUUAAACGGAGAAUAGGUCAAAUGUGAGCCAAUGACCUUUCCUCAUAUAUCUAGAACAUUCGUGUCGAGAGGGACCAUUUACUCUGAAGGAAAAUCAACAAGAAAAUGGUCUGCUUUGAGCGUUAAUGCCAUAUCCGAGGAAGAGACAAGAUAAGAGAAUCAAGUAGGCAUUUGCCCAUACGCGCUUGGGAGCGUCUUGAACAAUUGGACCGCGGAGGAGAUCCCUGUAACUUUUAAAAUUAAUUUAGAGUAACAUCUAAAACACGCUUAUUGCUCUAAGCCUAGGGUCAAUAAGAAUCCUUUUGUGAAAUAGGCUCUUAUCCAAUAUCAUUAUUUCAAUAAAAAUGCAUCUUUGCGUAUCAUCUUGAGCAAAUAUUCUUUUAUUCUUUCCAUUUCAUUCAUAAUCACACCACCAAUAAAUAUUCUUAGAUUCUUUUGUUCUUUGGACCUUUUUUUAUCUCCAUAACAGGUCUCCGGAUAUCAAUGAUAUGAGCAACGCUGCCACUGACUCAGAGUCUCCUUUUGAGCAAGAUAUGUGUACAAAGGAUUCUUAGGAUUUUGGAGAUGACCGAAACUGUAACCUAUCUCCGGAUUUGUUAAGAAUGAUAGAACAAGAUGAGAAACAAAUCCUACCUCACAAAGAGUCAGUGGAAAUCGUGAGCCUAGGAGAGGGAAAAGAUGUGAAGAUUGGAAUUUGUAUCGCCGCAGAAACAAGGCGAGACUUACUACAGAAUUCAAUGAUGUCUUCGCAUGGUCAUAUCAAGACAUACCUGGGUUGAAUACUAAUAUCGUGGUGCACCGACUCCCCAUAAAGGAAGGGUGCAAGCCAGUGCAGCAGAAGCUCCGAAGGAUGAGACCUGAUGUUUUGUUGAAAAUAAAAGAAGAGGUCAAGAAGCAAUUCGAUGCCGGUUUCUUACAAGUGGUUAAGUAUUCAAAAUGGGUAGCUAAUAUAGUCCCUGUCCCUAAGAAAGAUGGGAAGAUGUGAAUGUGUGUAGACUAUCGAGGUCUGAACAAAACCAGCCCAAAGGACAAUUUUCCGUUGCCUCACAUUGAUACAUUAUAGAUAAUACGGCAGGUUACUCACUUUUCUCCUUCAUGGAUGGUUUCUCAGGAUACAACCAGAUAAAGAUGCAUCCCGGAGACAUGGAAAAGACUACAUUCGUGACCAUGUGAGGAACGUUUUGUUAUAAGGUGAUGCCAUUCGGACUGAAGAAUGCAGAAGCAAUAUAUCAGAGAGCCAUGGUAACUCUGUUUCAUGAUAUGAUGCACAAGGAGAUCGAAGUUUACAUUGAUGACAAGAUUGCGAAAUCCAGGACAGAAAAAGAGCACAUACAAGUCUUGAAGAAAUUGUUCUUAAGGUUAAUAAAGUUUCAAUUGAAGCUCAAUCCCGCAAAAUGUACCUUCGGGGCCAGGUCAGGAAAGCUGUUAGGAUUCGUAAUCAGUGAAAGGGGAUCGAGAUAGACCCAGAUAAAGUCAAAGCCAUACAAGAGUUACCUCUGCCACGCAUUCAAAAAGAAGUUCGAGGUUUCCUAAGGAGGCUAAACUACAUCGCCCGGUUUAUUUCACAACUAACGGAGAAGUGUGACCCGAUAUUCUGUCUCCUUAGAAAACAUAACCCAGGUGUAUGGGAUGAGGAGUGCCAAAGAACUUUUGAUAAGGUCAAGCAUUGCCUGUCCAAUGCCCCAGUGCUAAUGCCACCUUAACCAGAUAAGCCACUGAUAUUGUAUUUGGCAGUGUUCGAAAACUCCAUGGGAUGCGUGUUAGGCCAACAUGAUGAGUCAGGAAGAAAAGAGAAAGCGAUAUAUUAUCUCAGUAAGAAAUUCACCGAAUGUGAGACAAGAUAUUCGCCGAUCGAGAAAUUGUGUUGUGCUUUGAUUUGGACAACCCGGAGACUGAGAGAAUAUAUGUUAUACCACACAACUUGGCUCAUCUCAAAACUAGACCCUCUGAAGUAUAUAAUGGAGUCAAAUACUUUGAACGAAAGAAUGGCUCGUUGGCAAAUUUUGCUUUUUGAGUUUUACAUAGUCUACAUGAAUCAGAAGGCUAUAAAAGGGAGCGCCAUAACUGAUUUUUUGGCCAGUAAGGCUCUAGAAGAUUAUGAGCCUUUGAGCUUUGAUUUCCCAAAUGAAGAUAUAAUGUAUGUCGCAACCGCUGAAGAAGGUUUUCAAGAAGAACAUCCUUAGAGACUGAAUUUUGACGGAGCCUCAAAUGCUGUGGGUAAUGAAAUUGGGGUAGUUUUGAUAUCCUCAAACGGAGAUCAUUAUCCCUUCACUAGUAAACUGAAUUUUGAUUGCACAAAUAAUAUGGCAGAGUACGAGGCAUGCAUCAUGGGAAUCCAUGCGGCCGUUGAACAUAAAAUUAAGAUGUUAGAAGUAUAUGGUGAUUCGACAUUAGUGAUCUAUCAGCUCAAAGGUGAAUGGGAGACAAGAGACCCUAAGUUGAUCAAUUACCGAAGGAUGGUUUUAGAGUUAAUUGAGGAGUUUGACGAUAUUUCUUUCUGUUACCUCCCACGAGAUGAAAACUAGAUGGCUGAUGCCUUGGCAACUUUAGCUUCAAUGAUCAAAGUAAAUAAGCAAGAGGAUAUGAAACUUAUCCAAAUGAGUAUCUAUGAGACUCCGGCUCAUUGUUAUAACAUCGAUGAAGAAGAAGAAAAUGAUGAUCACCCUUGGUAUUAAGACAUAUUGGGGUAUAUGAGAAAUCGUGAAUACUCAGGCCAAGCAACAGAAAAUGAUAAAAGCACAUUGAGAAGGCUAGCUAGUGACUAUGUCUUAGAUAGAGAGAUCCUAUAUAAAAGAAGGAAAGAUUAGGUGCCCUUAAGAUGUGUGGACGCUGUCGAGGCUAAGCAAAUCUUGGAAGAAGUCCAUGAGGGUGUCUGCGGAACACACGCUAAUGGUUUCACAAUGGCCAGACAAAUCAUGAGAUUCAAAUAUUAUUGGUCCAUUAUGGAGGGAGAUUGCAUCAACUAUGCCAAGAAGUGCCAUAAAUGUCAAAUUUAUGGAGAUAAGAUUUAUGUACCGCCUUCACCUCUUCAUGUCAUAACUUCCCUAUGGCCUUUUUCUAUAUGGGGCAUGGAUGUCAUAGGGCCGAUCUCACCGAAAGUAUCUAACGGGCACCGAUUCAUCUUUGUGGUCAUCGAUUACUUCACCAAAUGGGUAGAAGCCACUUCUUACACCAACAUCACAAAAUCAGCAGUCAGCAAGUUCUUAAAGAAAGAGAUUAUAUAUCGUUAUGGGAUGCUUGAGAGGAUAAUAUCAGACAAUGCACUGAACUUGAAUAAUAGCAUGAUAGCGGAGGUUUGUAACCAAUUCAAGAUCAAACACCAUAAUUCGUCACCAUAUCGCCAAAAAAUGAAUGGCACAGUGGAAACGGCCAAAUAUAAGAACAUCAAGAAGAUUGUGGGAAAAAUGACUGAGACUUAUAAAGAUUGGAAUGAGAAGUUACCAUUGGCCUUUUACGCCUACCGAACAUCAGUUAGAACCUCUACUGGGGCAACACCUUUCUCUUUGGUUUAUGGAAUGGAGGCGGUCCUACCUAUCGAGGUUGAAAUCCCUUCUUUAUGAGUGUUGUCAAAACUAAAAUUAGAUGAAGCAGAAUGGAUCCAGUCACAGUACGACCAGUUGAACUUAAUUGAAGAAAAUAGGCUGAAAGCUAUUCACCAUGGUCAAAUGUACCAAAAGCGAAUGAUGCGGGCUUAUGACAAGAAGGUUCGCCCUAGAGAAUUCUGUGAAGGAGACCUUGUUUUGAAAAAGAUUCUCCUCAUACAAAAGGACUUCAGAGGAAAAUGGAUGCCAAAUUGGGAGGGACAUUAUGUGAUGAAGAAAGCUUUCUCUGGAGGAGCUCUGAUCUUGACUGAGAUGAAUGGCAAAAGCUCACCUAACCUUGUGAAUUUAGAUUCAGUUAAGAGGUACUUUACCUAAAAAAAAAGGGGGGGAGAGACUAAGGCGAAAACCCACAAAAGGGCACUUUAAGACCAAAGGGGUUUUCAGUUGAAAACCCAGGAAUGGACAAUUCAAAUUUUAAUAAAAAAUGGGGCAUACAGUAAUUUUGUCUUCUCUGAAUUAACAAGAAGGAGGGAUGUUACAUCUUGGGGCAUCAACAAAGUACUUUUUGUCUUUUAAACACAUAUCAAGUUCAAAGGGUCCUCAAAAAGUUUUGGGCGGAGAAGCUUAUGCUACGAUAUCUGGGGCACCUAUUUUUAUUUUUUAUUCAUUUUGUAUCUUAGCAAAAUUUUCUAUCUUGAUUAUCUUAUUCAUUUCGAGCUUUUUCUCAAUAAAAUUUCGUCUUAUCCAUUGCGAUAAUCUUUUUCAAGCACUUUUUAUUGAAAUAACGAUUAAUGGACUAAUGACAUUCAAAAGGAGUUUUGCAUAUUACUCUAAAAUGAUUUUAAAUGAUACAAAGACCUGAAACGGGACUAAUUAGUUUGAAUUACCCAAAUUCAAAGAAACAUUGGAAAAUAAUGGCCCCAAUUGUGAUUAUUCUUCAAGAAAUACCAACUAAAGAGAAGGACUAAAUAAUACGUCGUUGAAAAAACCUUGAUGAACAGAAAGUAAUAUCAAAUUAAGCAUUAAAAGAAAAAUAACAUUUUUGUAUUCAUGCAAACAUCAUACACAUCUAGUUAGGAGAAUUUGAUUCAUUCAUGACAUCCUAAUCAUUUGGCAUAAGCAUAGGCUCAAGAAAUCAAUUUUACGAAUCAUGUCCCUCAGAGGAUAGUGUAGCAAGAUCGAUUGAAGCUACAAAUUAUGGCGAAUCUUAUCUUUCUGAAAUUACAGUGAAGCAGAUUAAAGCCAUCAAUCUUAUCUCCCUGAAGUUGCAGCGGAGCAGGUUGAAAUUGUAGAUCUUGUCUUUCUGAAGUUACAGUAGAGCAUAUCGAAACUAGUCUCAUUUCCCUGAAUUUGCAGUGGAGCAGACCGAAAAUAGCAGAUCUUAUCUCUCUGAAGUUGCAGUAGAGUAGAUUAAAGCUAUAAAUCCUAUACCUCUGAAGUUGCAGCAGGUCAGAUCAAAUCUACCAUGGUGAAUCCUAUUUCCCUGAAGUUGCAGUAGAGCAGAUCGAAGCCACUAACCUUAUUUCCCUGAAAUUACAGUGGAGCAGGUUGAAGUUACGAGUCUUAUCUUACUGAAGUUAUAGUGGAGCAGACUGAAAAUAACGGAUCUUAUCUCUUUGAAGUUGCAGCAGAGCAGAUUAAAGCUAUAAAUCCUAUACCUCUGAAGUUACAACAGGUCGGAUCAAAUCUACCAUGGCGAAUCUUACCUUCUUAAAGUUGCAGCAAAACAGAUUGGAGCCACCAGUCUUAUCUCACUGAAGUUGCAGUGGAGCAGAUUGAAGUCACAAACUUUAUCCCCCUGAAGUCACAUUGGGUCAGGUUGAAGCUACGAUUCUUAUCUCUCUAGAGUUGCAAUGGAGCACAUUGAGGGUACUUGAAGAAAAGAAGCGUCAAGAGGAGUCGAAACUCAGCUGGUCCAGGCAAAAUUGGCCCUUUUAUAGUCUUUGCUUCAUUCCCGUUAUACGGCAAUGAGCAAAGAGGGGCAGCUGUAAUGGGCCAAAUUUGCCCGACCCACAUAAACAAAGAACAAAAAAAACAAAAAUAAAAAAAAACCCAAAACAAAAUUAGACAGUCCAUUUACAAAUCUAACCCAGACAUGAGCCCAACAUUACAAGGCCCGAUUGGCCCAAAAUAUUUGAAAUUUUCAGAAACCUUAGGGUUUCUAUCCACUCUAGCACCGCAGCCUCGGUCGUCCCGCACCCCACAUGCCUCCGUCAGCGUACCAUCCGCUCAAUGGCUGCUUCCUUACACCGAAAUAGCAAGGUUUUCCUUCGUUGACCCUCCGUAGACUUGCAAACAUGACAAAGAAGGACAACAAGAAC